rnacentral:rRNA from 1 species
GACGAACGCUGGCGGCGUGCCUAAUACAUGCAAGUCGAACGGUCUUUUCUAUGGAAGCUUGCUUCCGCUGAGAAGAUAGUGGCGAACGGGUGAGUAACACGUGGGUAACCUGCCCAUAAGAGGGGGAUAACAUCCGGAAACGGGUGCUAAUACCGCAUAGUUUUCUUGAUCGCAUGAUUGAGAAAGGAAAGACGGCCUUUGUGCUGUCGCUUAUGGAUGGACCCGCGGCGUAGUAGUUAGUUGGUGAGGUAACGGCUCACCAAGACGAUGAUACGUAGCCGACCUGAGAGGGUGAUCAGCCACAUGGGGACUGAGACACGGCCCAAACUCCUACGGGAGGCAGCAGUAGGGAAUCUCCCGCAAUGGACGAAAGUCUGACGGAGCAACGCCGCGUGAGUGAAGAAGGUUUUCGGACUGUAAAGCUCUGUUGUUUAGGACGAAAGUGCCUGUUGCGAACAGUUACAGGUAUUGACGGUACUGAACGAGGAAGCCACGGCUAACUACGUGCCAGCAGCCGCAGUAACAC